AUUGAACGCUGGCGGCAUGCCUUACACAUGCAAGUCGAACGGCAGCGCGGGAGCAAUCCUGGCGGCGAGUGGCGAACGGGUGAGUAAUAUAUCGGAACGUGCCCAGUAGUGGGGGAUAGCCCGGCGAAAGCCGGAUUAAUACCGCAUACGACCUGAGGGUGAAAGCGGGGGAUCGCAAGACCUCGCGCUAUUGGAGCGGCCGAUAUCAGAUUAGCUAGUUGGUGGGGUAAAGGCCUACCAAGGCAACGAUCUGUAGUUGGUCUGAGAGGACGACCAGCCACACUGGGACUGAGACACGGCCCAGACUCCUACGGGAGGCAGCAGUGGGGAAUUUUGGACAAUGGGCGCAAGCCUGAUCCAGCAAUGCCGCGUGCAGGAAGAAGGCCUCGG
rnacentral:rRNA from 1 species